GACGAACGCUGGCGGCGUGCUUAACACAUGCAAGUCGAACGAUGAAGCUGGAGCUUGCUCUGGCGGAUUAGUGGCGAACGGGUGAGUAACACGUGAGAAAUCUGCCCUUGACUCUGGGAUAACUGCGGGAAACUGUAGCUAAUACCGGAUACUUUCCCUGGUGGGCAUCCACUGGGGAAGAAAGAAUUUCGGUCAAGGAUGAUCUCGCGGCCUAUCAGCUUGUUGGUGAGGUAAUGGCUCACCAAGGCGACGACGGGUAGCCGGCCUGAGAGGGUGACCGGCACCACUGGGACGGAGACACGGCCCAGACUCCUACGGGAGGCAGCAGUGGGGAAUAUUGCACAAUGGGCGCAAGCCUGAUGCAUCAACGCCGCGUGAGGGAUGAAGGCCUUCGGGUUGUAAACCUCUUUUAGCAGGGAAGAAGCGAAAGUGACGGUACCUGCAGAAAAAGCACCGGCUAACUACGUGCCAGCAGCCGCCGCCG
rnacentral:rRNA from 1 species